rnacentral:lncRNA from 1 species
UAAAGUAAUAGCUUGAGUUCAAAAAUUAUGGUGGAUACUACAUGCAGCAGCAUACUAGCAUUAUACCUCAAGUGAGUUUGUACAAACUUAGAGACUAUUUAGUAAUAUUCUACCUAAUUGCCAUGAUUUGAGUAUCAGUUAAAGGUCCAUGGACUCAUUGCAACCAAUUGAAGUUCAAAAAGAAAUUCAUUUCAAAGAACAUUUGAUUGAGACAGUAUUUUUCCAAGAUUUAGUACCCUCCACUUUUCCAUUAAACUAUCUUCCUACUAAAUUACAAACUCAUCCAUAAUUACAAUAGCAUUCGUUAGGUAUAUUGUUCUUCUAUGUCCUCCUUCUAUCUUUGCAAGCCAACACAGAGUUUUAUUCUUAUAGAACAAAACCAGCCAACUAAUAAGCACAUAACUGAAGAUCAUCAACUGCCAACAACAGCAUAUACACAUUGCGAAUUCAAAAUAUACAAGGGGGGUUACAUGCUAGAAGUACCUUGCGAAUUCAAAAUAUACACAUUUCACAGAGAGAUAAACUGGUUACUUGAAAUUAACAAAGUGCCCGGCAACAUAUCACCAAAGUUAUAUUUGAGUAGAAACUUCAUAGAGAGUGCAAAAUUGACAUAUCCACGUGCACAAAAUCUGACAGCCACAGUUAGCAUCAGGCAUGGACUGAGUCCAUUCUUUAGCCCAACAAAUAAAUGAGCACAAGAAAACCAACAAGUAUGGCAACAAUGGGAAUAAUAACAACCUUUUAGAAACUUAUUCUUAAAUGAACAAUAACAUAGAAACAUUUUUUCCUAGAAAAUUAGCAUUCUACAAUAGGCAAACAAGAAACAGGGGAAUGAAUAGAGAUAACAAACAGCUCAUAAUUCAAUUACAAGUACCAUAACAGAAACAGAGGUAUCCAGAAAACAAAUAUAUGAUAAUUACUUUCAAAAUAACACAUUUAAAACUCUUCGAAUACCCUAUUCAAGUUACAAAUGAUUACACCACUGUUUUCGUGCUUUUGUUUCUCAUAAUUUCUCAAUGUAAAUAGGAUAAUGCAUUGGACAAACAAACAAACAAUAGAAUGACACAAAACCAUCAUCGUGGUGUGCAAUUUCUAGCUGACCUGGCAACUCUAACUAAAUAAACAGGGAAAAAAGACCUCUUUUUAGAUCCAUUAGCAACUGAUUCAAAGCUCAACAUAUGAAUGACUACAUUAUUCACAAUCGACCCGCGAGUACUAAUAAAAUUAGACAAAAUGGAGGCGGUAAUAUAGAAGUAGUACCUCUUGGAAAAAGCGGAGUUAGAAGUGUUUAAGCCAAAAUGUUUUGGGGGUGAUUACAAUAAAUCUUAGCGAAUUACCUUGAGACUGAUUCAAACAUAACGCAGAGCAGAAAGAGGAAAUGCGGCCACUGACAAUUGUGUCUUCUCUAAAGGUCCCCAGGAGUUCUAAAAGAAAAGUGUGAAUUACAUUGGGUUUUACUAGAGAAUUUAUUUCGCAGAAAAAGACAAAGCGCCAUAGAUUAAUAUGAAAUAUUUCUCGGUUUUGCAUGUCAGAUAUUGAUGAAUGUGCGGAUUCAAAUGCCAAUUUGUGAGAACACAAUUGCAUAAACAAGCUGGGAGUUACAAUUGUUCCUGUCAUGACAAGCCUUGCCAUUCAUGAAGCCCAGGAAUGUCUAUCACCAAUUUUGGAGAAACGAAGUAAACCAAAAAGAUUGGGAGUUACAAUUGUUCCUGUCAUGAAGGAUACACCGGAGAUGGUAAAGAGAAUGGUCAUCGGCUCAUGGUUGUAUUGCACUAAACUCAAACUCUGAGUUCCCAUGGAUCAAGUUUUCUGUUGGUAAGAUUCUCAUAAAUUGAACCUGUUUCCGUGUUACUAGUUAAUGCUUAUUGUAGAAAUUUACUUACUAAUUACUUUACAAGUAACCUAAUUGUGUAAAUAUUGUUCUUUAUACCAUCAAUACAUAGAACUUAAUCUUUUAAGCAAGUAUUAUACAUGAUGGCGUUAGAGAUAUCACUAAUUUUUAAACACGCCAAACAAAUCAUUGUAAAUAAAAUGAAAGGAAAAAAGGGUAACGACAGAAAUAGAGACAUGCAAACUGAUUUCACAGCUUAAAUAAGAAAAUGUUUACUCCUUUCUAUAGUUUUUCGGUUUUCAUCUAAACCCAGCUUGAGUUUUCAGAACUAGACUAGUAUUUCGUUUGUGAACUAGAACCAGCAAAAGGAAAUAUUUCAAUUAAGACCCAAAUCACAUAAAUUAACCUACAAAAUACACACAAAAAACAAAAUUAACCUAAUGCAAAAGGAGAAAGAGGACUUACAUCUCGGUUUCAACAAAUAGUGUUAUAUCCUUCUUCAAAUUACACCGAUUCCACCAAAUUUCUGCUACUUUCGGUUGAGAAUCGAAAAACAUCAAAUGAAAGAAAGAGAAAAAAAUCAGUAAAGGGAAAACACAAAUUAACGGAGAAAAUAAACUUAAAACCCACAUGCAUGAAGAAAGAGAGACAAAAAAGCAAAAUCAAAGAAUGGAGAAGAGCAAAAUCAAAUUAACGUACGUCCAAUUGAUAGAUAGAUCUGAAGUUAUUACAUGGAUUUCGCUGAGAGAUGCUGAAAUGAAAGGGUUAUUGUAGAGGACCGAUUAUUGUGAAUGGCUAGAUGGGAAAAUUAAAGGGUUUCUGAGAACGGGGGAAAGAGGGGUAGCUGAAAAUGAGAAGGGGGUUUGGGAAAAAGAAAAAAAAGGAAUGGAUUAAAAAACGAGGGGAACAUUGGAGUUAGUAGGCCCUAU